GACGAACGCUGGCGGCGUGCUUAACACAUGCAAGUCGAACGGAAAGGCCCUGCUUUUGUGGUGUGCUCGAGUGGCGAACGUGUGAGUAACACGUGUGUACCCUGCCCUUCACUUUGGUAUGACUUCAGGAAACUGUGUCUUAUACCGUAUAGGAGCUCCUGCUGCAUGGUGGGGGUUGGAAAGUUUCGGCGGUUGGGUAUGGACUCGCGGCUUAUCAUCUUGUUGGUGGGUUAGUUUCUUACCAAGGCUUUGACGGGUAGCCGGCGUGAGAGGGUGCCCGGCAACAUGGGGACGGAGAUACGGCCCAGAUUCAUACGGGAGGCAGAAGGGGGGAAUAUUGCAAAAUGGGCGGAAGCCUGAUGAAGAAACGCCGGGUGGGGGAUGAGGGCCUUCGGGUUGUAACCCGUUUUAGCAUGGGAAGAAGCGUGAGUGAGGGGAAUGGGUAAAGAAGCACGGGUAAAUUACGU
rnacentral:rRNA from 1 species